GACGAACGCUGGCGGCGUGCUUAACACAUGCAAGUCGAACGAAGUGGCGAACGGGUGAGUAACGCGUAAUCAACUUGCUCUUCAGCGGGGGACAACAGUUGGACACGACUGCUAAUACCGCAUACUGAAGGAGGGGCUUCCGUCGGAUUAGCUAGUUGGGGGGGUAACGGCCCACCAAGGCGAUGAUCAGUAGCCGGUCUGAGAGGUGGAACGGCCACAAUGGGACUGAGACACGGCCCAGACUCCUACGGGAGGCAGCAGUUGGGAAUAUUGGACAAUGGGCGAAAGCCUGAUCCAGCCAUGCCGCGUGUGUGAAGAAGGUCUUCGGAUUGUAAAACACUUUAAGUUGGGAGGCGUUACCAACAGAAUAAGCACCGGCUAACUUCGUGCCAGCAGCCGCGGUAAUAC
rnacentral:rRNA from 1 species